UCUAAUAUGGCAGAUUAGUGCAAUGGAUUUAAGCUCCAUAUAUAAAGAGUUCCUUUUAUUAGAA
rnacentral:tRNA from 1 species